CAAAGAUUAGUGGGGACUGAUCCGUAAUGAAAGGCUUCUUCUGGGGAAGCCACCUGUCCCCCAUUCCCAAGAAGAUACAUGAACCCCCUUCUACUCCACUGGCCUAGAGUCACCUUGGGAAGAACAGAGUAAAGAAGAGGAAAUCUGGGUGAGCAAUCAUUUACCCAAAACAGACUUCUAGGAAUGGCUUGCAUUCUUUGCUCCUGGCUCCCUUCUCCCAUCUUCAAAGCCAGCAAUCUAGCAUUUCCUUGACCAUGUGUCCAUCAUCACUUCCCAUCCAAUCUGGACGUGUUCUCCACUUUUAUAAAUUCAUAUGAUUAAACUGGACCACCAUGUAAGGAAUUCACUUUAAUGAGGAAAAGAUCCAUAGCCUUCAUCAGAUCCUCAGAAGCAUAUGUACAGCAAAGAUGUUUAAAGAGCACCUCUCUUGGACAAGAUCUCUGUUUUAGGAAAGAGCUCUGAGGGGACAAGUUGUUAAUAAAAAUAGUUGUG